CAGUCACAGAACUCAUCACACCAGGCUUUUUUUAUGUUAGUAAUGUCAUUUCUCUGGACUGGGCCAAAGCUUCGAGUUUUUGUUUGUUCUUCAUGCUGCCCAUGUCGGACUAGGAACAUUUCAAAGAUUCUGGCUUAGUGGCCCUUUCUUCUAGUGAAUGCAGAAAAACACAGAACUUAAUAACAAAACCAUGGAUUUAGUUUGACGCUCGUGUCUGCUUCUCAGUCAAGUGACAAUGUCAAACAGAUGAAAAAUCUAAGGAGAUGGAGCUCAUUUUUAAUAUCCAUGGGAUGAGUUGAUAGUAUCAAUAUGAUUUCCUUCCAGGCCUGCACUAGCCACCAUGCAAAAAAAUGGCUGUUGAGUGUUGUUGGGAGCACUCACUAUUAUCCAGAGCAUGGAGAAAUAUCUGCUUAAGUACCUUGCAAAGAGCAUUAAGAAAAGGAUUCAGCUAAUUUCAGAGACUAUAAGAAAAUAUUCUAUACCUUUCUACAAUGACCAAAACAAUGCCACAGACAACUGUACAAGAAAAUAAAGAAUUUUCCAUAUUUUAUCAUGA